CCAUCAUCUGAAAACAGGUGAAGCACCAUUUACUACACGCAGCCGUAGUUCACUGACAAGCUAGCCCAUAUAGCAUUCAUUAUCGCAUAAAUUUACAUUAAAGUUUUAUUGAAAAUGAAUGCAUGAUUUGUCAUUUUCAGAGUUCACAAGACUUCUCUGUGUUAUUCCCUGACCAUGCCGAAAAGCUAUUUGAAACUUGGGCACUGCAUUUUACAGACAGAAUCCUGCAACUUCCCAGCCAAGAACCAGGAGCAUCAACAAAUCACCUACAGAACCCCAUGAUGAUAUUCCAACUCCUGUCUACAAAAGUGGGAAGAAAAUCUUAAGUUUAUGUUGGGACCAACAUGGUUGCAUUCUUCUGAGAGGCUGAGGUGACAAAACCAUUCCCAUUUGUCCUUGGAUUGGAAGA